GACGAACGCUGGCGGCGUGCUUAACACAUGCAAGUCGAGCGGGAAACUUCGGUUUCCAGCGGCGGACGGGUGAGUAACACGUGGGCAACCUGCCUCACAAUGAGGGAUAGCCUUCCGAAAGGAAGAUUAAUACCUCAUAACACAAGAGAAACGCAUGUUUCUCUUGCCAAAGAAUUUCGUUGUGGGAUGGGCCCGCGGCGCAUUAGCUUGUUGGUGAGGUAACGGCUCACCAAGGCUUCGAUGCGUAGCCGACCUGAGAGGGUGAUCGGCCACAUUGGAACUGAGACACGGUCCAGACUCCUACGGGAGGCAGCAGUGGGGAAUAUUGCACAAUAGAGGAAACUCUGAUGCAGCAACGCCGCGUGAGUAUGAAGGUCUUCGGAUUGUAAAGCUCUGUCUUCUGGGACGAUAAUGACGGUACCAGAGGAGGAAGCCACGGCUAACUACGUGCCAGCCGCCGCGGUAACAC
rnacentral:rRNA from 1 species